AGGGAUUGCCUCAGUAACGGCGAGUGAAGCGGCAACAGCUCAAAUUUGAAAUCUGGCUCCUUCGGGGCCCGAGUUGUAAUUUGCAGAGGAUGCGUCGGGUACGGGUUCCCUCCGAGUUCCCUGGAACGGGACGCCAUAGAGGGUGAGAGCCCCGUCUGGUAGGACACCCAGCCCAUGUGACGCUCCCUCGACGAGUCGAGUAGUUUGGGAAUGCUGCUCUAACGGGAGGUAUACUCCUUCCAAGGCUAAAUACCGGCUGGAGACCGAUAGCGCACAAGUAGAGUGAUCGAAAGAUGAAAAGCACUUUGAAAAGAGAGUCAAACAGCACGUGAAAUUGUUAAAAGGGAAGCGCUCGCUACCAGACUUGGGUUCGGCGGUUCAACCGGGGCCAUGCCCCGGGGCACUCCGCCGGCCCAGGCCAGCAUCAGCUUUCCGUCGGGGGCAAAGGCGUCGGGAAUGUGGCUCCCCCUCGGGGGAGUGUUAUAGCCCGGCGCGUCAUACCCUUCGGGGGGCUGAGGUACGCGCUUCUGCAAGGAUGCUGGCGUAAUGGUAGCUAGUGACCCGUCUUGAAACACGGGACCA
rnacentral:rRNA from 1 species